rnacentral:rRNA from 1 species
GGCCUUCGGGUUGUAAAGCUCUUUCGCCGGGAAGAAGAGGACGGGACCGGAACAGCAGGACCCGGAUAGCUUCUUUGCCAGGAGCCCCCGGGAUUAUUAUAUGCCAGCAGCCGCGGUAAUAA